rnacentral:rRNA from 1 species
CGCGUAGGCGGUUUUUUAAGUCAGAUGUGAAAUCCCUGGGCUUAACCCUGGAAGUGCAUUUGAUACUAUGAAACUUGAGUAUGGGAGAGGGAAACGGAAUUCCUGGUGUAGCGGUGAAAUGCGUAGAUAUCAGGAGGAACACCGGUGGCGAAGGCGGUUUCCUGGACCAAUACUGACGCUGAGGCGCGAAGGCGUGGGGAGCAAACA